rnacentral:lncRNA from 1 species
CACAAGUUAAACUGGAGGAGUGUUUUAAUCCCUCCAUUUCACUGGUCAGGGUGGAGGAGCAGGGAGGGGAACCGAACACCUAACCAUCACUUAAUUCCUCUGUGGUUGAUUACUGUACAUCUUGUUCUUUUUGAUUUUUUUUUUUUUUUUCAGUUGUUCCAUGGCAAUAUCUUUGUUAAAGAGAGGAGAAGCAGUCAUGCUGGCAAUAGAAAGGUGUUGAUGAGCCAGGAAAGGAGUAGCACAGAGCUGCUGGAAGUAGAUGGAGCACAAAGCCCUGCAACCCCCUUUGGUGGGGAGGAAGGGAAAAGGGAUCAGCCAAGUAUCUUUAUGUUUGAGGUGUUGUCUUGCCUCUGUUCUGGUGUUUGGAGAGACAUCUGUGCAGUUGGACGUGGACCACAUGCCAGCUGAGGUAAAUCCCAUUUGUCUUCCCACAGAGAAAUUCAUCCAACCGAGCAGAACUCCCUGAGUUCUAGUUCUAGAGUCCCUGAGAGGGACUAGAACUAGAACUCCCGGAGUUCUAGUUCUCUCUGGCUUCUAGUGCUGCUCCAAGGACGGUUUCCUCAGCUUUCCUUAACUUUCUAUUUUCUGGUCAAGGAAAACCCCAAAUAAAUGCUACUUGUUCUCUCA